GGACCGGAGAGAGAGACCGGGGAGGGAGCCCCGACGAGCAGCGAGCUGCACGGGGUGGGACCGGCCAACCGGAUACUCACACUGGACCGUUUUUACAUUUCUGCUUUUUUUAUUUUUUUUUUCUAGUGUUUUAAACGUUAACACCGGACUGCACGAGACACACAGAGCGACAGUGUGGUCAGGGUGAACUUGCGCUGCUUCGCGUCUCGUCGAAACCUCUGGAACUGUCAGAAAAAAAAAAUUGAUUGAGAGUUAAGGUGUGGCUGAAGGUUUUUCUGUGACGCUCCUGCACUGAAAAAUAUCACAAAAGCCGACUCGAGAGUGUCCGAGCCAGGGCUGAGACUCAUAUCUACCAACCGCUCCACAGAUCCUGUUCAGUCAUUUUCAUCUAGGAAGAUAUUACAUAACAAAUGUAUUGCCAUCUUGAUGUGCGCACCUUUUGGCUCAAGUCCCAUCGCGGUAGCCUAGAUUAAUUGGACUGUUACGCAGUUGAGAAGUAAGUCGAGUCUUUUCUUUUUACAGCUCGUUUUGGUUUCAUAAGUGUGGGAAAUGUAACGGACGUGGCAACUUUACAGUAGCCUGCCCUGCUGAAUGCCACAGGCAAACUGGGCGUGGGGGGAAACAGUCCGAACAGAGCCCUAAUAAUCCUCAAAUCUCAUCCAGGCACGGCACAAAUUGCGCAUAUUUGACAUAUCACAGCCGCACUGACGAGCGCCUCGGUUGGAGCCGGUGGAUUUACCUGAAGCAAAGUGCCUUCAGUAGAUCUGCUUGUCUUUUAACCAACUUUAGAUCAUGGCAUCGGGAUCUACUUCCAGGAAAUCUACAGGAGGUGUUAAUUGGUGGAGAUGUGCCACGCCUGUGCCACUAGACCUGGGUGGCCUGUACCUGUGCCUGCGCCAGCUGCUGUGCCAGCUGUGCAGGGUGAGCAAGCAGAACAGCAUCACAGAAAGAGACGAACAGACAGCUGCUGCAGACGGAGAGACGGAGGAGCAGCAUCAAAGGAGCGCCGAGUCAACCUACAUGCCAUCAAUCAUAAUAUAUUUAUUAGCUCGGUUAUUUUGCAGCUUAUUAUCACGUCGCGAGCAUUUAAAUUUGGAAUUGAGGCUGUGUAAUUUGUUCUGCAGUCAUACGCUGAAGAUUUGUCUUACAGCUACUGAAAUUGUGUUUUGUCUUUAUCCAUUUUCAGCUUUUGUGACUCCUGAUUUUAGCUUAAUUUUUGAUCAAUAAAACAACUAAUCAUGAUCCUUUAACAC